rnacentral:lncRNA from 1 species
GAUCUUAGACUCCCUUCAGGUCGACCUCCAUCACCUUCAUUGCCCUCCUGCAUCUCUCGGACCAGCCUAGGUUAGUUCUGAAAUCCUUCUUUUUCUUGUUGUUCUUUCAUUUUUCUUCCUCCACAUUCCACACGUUCAGUUUCUUCGCGCGCGUCUUGUUUCCUAUUUUUUCUAAUUUUUUUAAGAUUUUUAUUUGAUUCAAAAUAUCCUCUAACACUUCCUCCUCUAGCAGUUCUAGAAGUUCGUCUGCUCCAGCCUCCCAAAAUCCUGGUACUGUAGAUGAAUCCGCACUUAGGAUCGAACCUCGUUCGAUCUUUGCACCAGACACCAUUCCUAGCUCUUUGACCUCGGAUGAACUCUCGCUGAUUAGGAUUCAGUACGGGAUUCCUCUGGAGUAUGAGCUUGAGCUUCUCGGGCCAAC